rnacentral:lncRNA from 1 species
GGGGAAUAACCGAGGUUCAAAUAGACUUUAAGGAUAUUAAAGUUAUACAAAGGGAAACAAUUAAGAAAAAGCAGAUAGAGGCAGUUACUACAAAUUAACCACUUCUGAUGCUAUAAAUUUUUGACAAGAGGGGUUGCUCUGAUGGUAAGCAACCCCCACUUCCAACCGAGAGGUUGUGCGACUUUAAGCUUCUUCAACAAUUCCAAAAAACAAGUGUAGAAGUAAAUUCACGAGUUUAUGCCAUUAUUAAUUUUUUUUAAGAACGUGGUAAACUUGAACCGAGAGGUUGUGAGUUCGAGUCUCCCCAAGAGCAAGGUGGGA